UUCUCCAACCUUUAACCCACUGCAGGGUUUGAUCCCCUUUCAGCUUGCAGUUCAUCUGCUUUCCCUGCAGGGAGAAUGCCAGGUCAACCUGUUUAUUGAGUGUGCAGCCUGAUUUCCUUGCACAAAGUUUGAAGGGAAGCUAGAUGGCAGCAGCUAUUCCUUGAACACUCGUUCUGAUUUGUUUGUUGGGAGAUUAUACAGCAUCACGUCAAGCAAGCAUUAUUCUACACUUUCCAGUGCGUUUUCCCAUCCUUUAUCCCAAAAAGUGCAAUUUGGGGUUGGGAUGAGGAGUGGGUUUGUUGUGCAAGAGUGCCAAACCACCUUUAAUUGUGCAGCCUGAAUCUCUGACUGAAUCCAACCUAUAAAAUAGCGACAGUCUGGAAAUACUACGAGUUGGAACAGUCUCAUGCUCACCGGAGGUGAUGGGAGCUGUGGUCCAAAACUUCUGGAGGGCACCAGGUUGACGAUAGUUGGGCUAGAACGCUCCAGUCUUGCAUGUAAAUAUCUUCAUGCUUCAAGCGUGUAAUGCUUUUCUUCGCAGAACAGUGUCUUGGCUUUGCAGGGUCUUGAAACCCUUCCUGUAUGUACAGUCGCUGGUCUUAAGAGAAGCUGGCAGAACACAAGGAUCUUCCGGUGAUCUUGGAAGCUGCCUUGGAGUGCAGAGGGAAGAGGGAGACUCAGGAUGAGGAUUUGGUGCAAUUGAGGGUGGCUGCAGUAGGGCAUUCUAGGAAAGAUCAGUGCAGAUGAAGCAGAUGUGGAAACGGCCAGCUCAGACGUACAGCGUCAACGAUUCCGGGAAUUCUCAUAUUGGGAGGCGGAGGGCCCUCGAGAAGUUUGCAGCCAACUUCACCGUCUUUACCGUGAGUGGCUGAAGCCAGAGCGACACACGAAGACUCAGAUCCUGGACUUGGUGACCCUGGAGCAGUUUCUGGCUGUCCUUCCCACAGAGGUGGAGAGCUGGGUGAGGGAAUGUGGAGCGGAGACCGGUUCCCAGGCGGUGGCCCUCGUGGAAGGUUUCCUCCUGAGCCAAGCAGAGGAGAAGCAAGUAAUGUGAGAGAGAGCAAGAGAAAAGGUGGACAGCAGAGAAGGAAGACUGGAAAAAACCGGAAAUGGUGUAAGAAACGUCUUCUUGGUUCUGUACAUGCUGAUUUCCAUGUGAUUCCAGUUCCACAGAAACAUCACCGAGGAAAUCACAUCCCUGCAUGUGCAAAAAUACUGACUUGUAAAUCAAGCCUUAGUGCACACCAAAGACUCUACACGGGGGAGAGAGUUUGCUCUUAAAGGCGGCCUAAAAGUUUUGUUUUUAAAAGAAUGAAUGAAUGAACUGCUCUUUAUAAUUCUCUGUUUUUUUCCAGAUUGGUCAUUCUUAUUUUUUGGACCAAUGCCCCAAAGGGUGAAGAGAAUUCUUUUCACUGAGCUUGCGUGAUGUCUAAAUAUGCAAUAAACGUCUUACUUGCUUGCUUGA